rnacentral:rRNA from 1 species
UUUACCUGUGUGACUGCGUACCUUUUGUAUAAUGGGUCAGCGACUUAUAUUCUGUAGCAAGGUUAACCGCAUAGGGGAGCCGGAGGGAAACCGAGUCUUAACCGGGCGUUAAGUUGCAGGGUAUAGACCCGAAACCCGGUGAUCUAGCCAUGGGCAGGUUGAAGGUUGGGUAACACUAACUGGAGGACCGAACCGACUAAUGUUGAAAAAUUAGCGGAUGACCUGUGGCUGGGGGUGAAAGGCCAAUCAAACCGGGAGAUAGCUGGUUCUCCCCGAAAGCUAUUUAGGUAGCGCCUCGUGAAUUCAUCUCCGGGGGUAGAGCACUGUUUCGGCUAGGGGGCCAUCCCGGCUUACCAACCCGAUGCAAACUGCGAAUACCGGAGAAUGUUAUCACGGGAGACACACGGCGGGUGCUAACGUCCGUCGUGAAGAGGGAAACAACCCAGACCGCCAGCUAAGGUCCCAAAGUCAUGGUUAAGUGGGAAACGAUGUGGGAAGGCCCAGACAGCCAGGAUGUUGGCUUAGAAGCAGCCAUCAUUUAAAGAAAGCGUAAUAGCUCACUGGUCGAGUCGGCCUGCGCGGAAGAUGUAACGGGGCUAAACCAUGCACCGAAGCUGCGGCAGCGACGCUUAUGCGUUGUUGGGUAGGGGAGCGUUCUGUAAGCCUG